rnacentral:rRNA from 1 species
AUACGGAGGGUGCGAGCGUUAAGCGGAAUUACUGGGCGUAAAGCGUACGUAGGCGGUUGGUUAAGUUAGAUGUGAAAGCCCCGGGCUUAACCUGGGAACUGCAUUCAAAACUGGCGAACUAGAGUUGAGUAGAGGGGAGUGGAAUUUCAGGUGUAGCGGUGAAAUGCGUAGAGAUCUGAAGGAACACCAGUGGCGAAGGCGACUCCCUGGACUCGAACUGACGCUGAGGUACGAAAGCGUGGGUAGCAAACGGGAUUAGAAACCCUAGUAGUCC